GUGAAUGAAGGACAGUUUGUAGAGGAUCUCCAGGUUUCUGGUGUCUCUGAUCAGCUCCAGCUCCACAAACACCAUGUUCCUCACGUCUUUACUGCUGCUGCUGAUUGCAGGAUGUGUCCACUCUCAGAUUGUUCUCACACAGUCUGAGAGGUCAGUAACAGUGACUCCAGGUGGAUCCCAGAAACUGACCUGUGCCUGCAGCGGAUUUACUCUUGGUGACUAUUGGAUGCAGUGGGUCCGACAGGCUCCUGGGAAAGGACUGGAAUGGAUUAUUGCUUAUCAUUCUGAGAGUCACAAAAGCUCAGCUCAGUCAGUUCAGGGCAGAUUCACAGCAUCCAAGGACAGCUCUAAUCUCUACCUGCACAUGAGUCAACUGAAGCCUGAAGACACUGCAGUGUAUUACUGUGCCAGAGACUCACUGUGGUGGAACUCAUACAGACAGCUGUACAAAAACUAG